GAUCCUGGCUCAGGAUGAACGCUAGCUACAGUCUUAACACAUGCAAGUCGAGGGGAAACGACAGAGGAAGCUUGCUUCCUUUGGGCGUCGACCGGCGCACGGGUGAGUAACGCGUAUCCAACCUUCCCGCAAGUAAGGGAUAACCCGUAGAAAUGCGGCCUAAUACCUUAUGUUUUCCUUAGAUGGCAUCUGAUGAGGAACAAAGAUCCGUCGCUUGCGGAUGGGGAUGCGUCUGAUUAGUUAGUCGGG
rnacentral:rRNA from 1 species